UAUACUAUUGAGCAAGGGGAGAGACGGAGGGGAGAGAGGCAGAGGGGAGGGUGACUAAGUGAAUGCAGUUUGCCGUCGCGUGUCGCUGAAUCACAGCGAAGUCCACGAGCAGCCGGACUGAUUGGGGCUGAAUCAACAAAUGGAUACGGAAAACCCGGAUACGCACCGCAUCAAAGGGGACGGCACGCGAGGACGAGGGCUCCGUAUUCACAGGCUCUAAUGUCUGCAUCAGAUACUGCUGUGAGGAGCCCACGGGGAGGGAAAUAGCGGACAACUCAUUUCUCUCCAGCUCCGUCAGAAGGCGCGGAGCUGCUGCCUAGUGUGGGACUCGCUGGGAUUGAAUAUAUGCUCAUGCCGGCUUGUGUGCGCACGCGAGCGAGCGUGUGAGGGCUGAUAAUAGCAGCCCCAUUGGUAUUCAGCGGAGGGAGCUCCGGGAUCGCGCUGCGCCUUUUCCCCGGGACGGGAUCACAGAGCGGGGAUUGUGCUCGCCUGCGGAGAGCGCCCUGGAAUGGAUCCCUGCAGAGGUGGACACCGAGUGGGCAGCGCGGACGCCAGCGUCUACGAGCCGUGAGCCCGCGGAGCUGAAGCCCGGACGAGCCGGAGCCGGAGCCGGAGCGAGGCCGCGGCCGACGAGCCCCUCUAGAGUUGACCUUCCACCAACCAGUCGACCUGUUGAGCUUCGCAGCCAGCCUUUUUGGAGGAAUGAAAUAGAACGCAGUGAUGCCUGAGCAAUGGUACGGCGCUCGUGGACACGUCCGGAUUUAUCGACCGGAUAACUUAUCAAGAUUACGACGCUGUUGUGCACACCUCGGAGCUGGGCCACUUUUCCAUAUUGGCUUGUGGGCAAAAGCGAGUAAUUGAAAAUCCCCCCUCCGGAGGCGCUCGGCGCUGAUUUGUCGUCCUGGGAGGAGGUCCUAUUGUUUUUAGAAACGGAAAAAUAAAAAGCGGAUUUCUUCUUUUUCA
rnacentral:lncRNA from 1 species